AACGAACGCUGGCGGCGCGCUUAAUACAUGCAAGUCGAGCGAGAACCGGAGCUUCGGCUCCGGGGACAGCGGCGAACGGGUGAGUAACACGUGGGUAACCUGCCCUCGGCACCGGGAUAGCCCGGGGAAACCCGGAUUAAUACCGGAUGGCCCUUUCGGUCUUCGGACCGGUCGGCAAAGGUAGCUUCGGCCUCCGGCCGAGGAUGGGCCCGCGGCGGAUUAGCUUGUUGGUGAGGUAACGGCUCACCAAGGCUCCGAUCCGUAGCUGGUCUGAGAGGACGAUCAGCCACACUGGGACUGAGACACGGCCCAGACUCCUACGGGAGGCAGCAGUAGGGAAUCUUGCGCAAUGGGCGAAAGCCUGACGCAGCGACGCCGCGUGCGGGAAGACGGCCUUCGGGUUGUAAACCGCUUUCAGGAGGGACGAAGCCACUCGGGUGAAUAGCCCAGAGGGUGACGGUACCUCCAGAAGAAGCCCCGGCUAACUACGUGCCAGCAGCCGCCGCAG
rnacentral:rRNA from 1 species